rnacentral:rRNA from 1 species
GAUGAACGCUGGCGGCGUGCUUAACACAUGCAAGUCGAACGGAAAGGCCAGUGCUUGCCCUGGUACUCGAGUGGCGAACGGGUGAGUAACGCGUGGGUGAUCUGCCCUGCACUUCGGGAUAAGCCUGGGAAACUGGGUCUAAUACCGGAUAGGACAAUGGCUUGGAUGCCGUUGUGGAAAGUUUUUUCGGUGUGGGAUGAGCUCGCGGCCUAUCAGCUUUUUGGUGGGGUAAUGGCCUACCAAGGCGUCGACGGGGAUCCGGCCCGCGAGAGUGUACGGCCGCACUAGACCUGUACGACAGGCCAGAGUGCUGCGGGAGGCAGCAGUGGGGAAUAUUUGACAAUGGGCGCAAGCCUGAGGCAGCGACGCCGCGGGGGGGAUGAGGGCCUUCGGGUUGUAAACACCGUUCGCUAGGGACGAAGCGUAUUUGUGACGGUACCUGGAGAAGAAGCACCGGCUAACUACGUG